rnacentral:rRNA from 1 species
UAGAGUUUGAUCAUGGCUCAGAUUGAACGCUGGCGGCAGGCUUAACACAUGCAAGUCGAGCGGUAACAUUUCUAGCUUGCUAGAAGAUGACGAGCGGCGGACGGGUGAGUAAUGCUUGGGAAUAUGCCUUAUGGUGGGGGACAACAGUUGGAAACGACUGCUAAUACCGCAUAACGUCUACGGACCAAAGGGGGGGAUCUUCGGACCUCUCGCCAUUUGAUUAGCCCAAGUGAGAUUAGCUAGUUGGUGAGGUAAUGGCUUACCAAGGCGACGAUCUCUAGCUGGUUUGAGAGGAUGAUCAGCCACACUGGGACUGAGACACGGCCCAGACUCCUACGGGAGGCAGCAGUGGGGAAUAUUGCACAAUGGGCGAAAGCCUGAUGCAGCCAUGCCGCGUGUGUGAAGAAGGCCUUCGGGUUGUAAAGCACUUUCAGUUGUGAGGAAAGGGGUGUAGUUAAUAGCUGCGCUCUGUGACGUUAACAACAGAAGAAGCACCGGCUAACUUCGUGCCAGCAGCCGCGGUAAUACGAGGGGUGCAAGCGUUAAUCGGAAUUACUGGGCGUAAAGCGUUCGUAGGCGGUUUGUUAAGCAAGAUGUGAAAGCCCAGGGCUCAACCUUGGAACUGCAUUUUGAACUGGCAAGCUAGAGUACUGUAGAGGGGGGUAGAAUUUCA